UAGGGAAUCUUCGGCAAUGGACGAAAGUCUGACCGAGCAACGCCGCGUGAGUGAAGAAGGUUUUCGGAUCGUAAAGCUCUGUUGUAAGAGAAGAACGGGUGUGAGAGUGGAAAGUUCACACUGUGACGGUAUCUUACCAGAAAGGGACGGCUAACUACGUGCCAGCAGCCGCGGUAAUACGUAGGUCCCGAGCGUUGUCCGGAUUUAUUGGGCGUAAAGCGAGCGCAGGCGGUUAGAUAAGUCUGAAGUUAAAGGCUGUGGCUUAACCAUAGUACGCUUUGGAAACUGUUUAACUUGAGUGCAGAAGGGGAGAGUGGAAUUCCAUGUGUAGCGGUGAAAUGCGUAGAUAUAUGGAGGAACACCGGUGGCGAAAGCGGCUCUCUGGUCUGUAACUGACGCUGAGGCUCGAAAGCGUGGGGAGCGAACAGGAUUAGAUACCCUGGUAGUCCACGCCGUANACGAUGAGUGCUAGGUGUUAGGCCCUUUCCGGGGCUUAGUGCCGCAGCUAACGCAUUAAGCACUCCGCCUGGGGAGUACGACCGCAAGGUUG
rnacentral:rRNA from 1 species